rnacentral:rRNA from 1 species
CCUACGGGUGGCAGCAGUGGGGGAUAUUGCACAAUGGGGGGAACCCUGAUGCAGCGACGCCGCGUGGGUGAAGAAGCGCCUCGGCGCGUAAAGCCCUGUCAGCAGGGAAGCAAAUGACGGUACCUGACGAAGAAGCCCCGGCUAACUACGUGCCAGCAGCCGCGGUAAUACGUAGGGGGCAAGCGUUAUCCGGAUUUACUGGGUGUAAAGGGGGCGCAGACGGCGAUGCAAGCCAGGAGUGAAAGCCCGGGGCCCAACCCCGGGACAGCUGUUGGAACUGCGUGGCUGGAGUGCAGGAGGGGCAGGCGGAAUGCCUGGUGUAGCGGUGAAAUGCGUAGAUAUCAGGAGGAACCCCGGUGGCGAAGGCGGCCUGCUGGACUGAAACUGACGUUGAGGCCCGAAAGCGUGGGGAGCGAACAGGAUUAGAUACCCGGGUAGUC